UACGAGGGGGGCAAGCGUUGUUCGGAAUUAUUGGGCGUAAAGAGCUUGUAGGCGGUUUGUCGCGUCUGCCGUGAAAAUUCGAGGCUCAACCUCGAACUUGCGGUGGGUACGGGCAGACUAGAGUGUGGUAGGGGAGACUGGAAUUCCUGGUGUAGCGGUGAAAUGCGCAGAUAUCAGGAGGAACACCGAUUGCGAAGGCAGCUCGCUGGAACGUUACUGACGCUGAGACGCGAAAGCGUGGGGAGCAAACAGG
rnacentral:rRNA from 1 species